GGAAGGAUCAUUAUUGAAUAGACUUUGUUUAAAAGUUUUUUUCAUAUUCCCUGUUUAUAUUAAAUACGUUCCUUCCACCGGACAGGUCUUUAAGGACCCUCUAGCUUAAGCAAAUGCUUUUGCUGGGGAGUUUGCCGGUGGCGUUUCUAAAAAAACAAAAACUUUUGUUAUUAUGAAAUGUCUGAAUAUUAUUUUAAAUUAAAUAAAACUUUCAACAACGGAUCUCUAGGCUCUUGCAUCGAUGAAGAACGCAGUGAAAUGCGAUAAGUAAUGUGAAUUGCAGAAUCUCGUGAAUCAUCGAAUCUUUGAACGCACAUUGCGCCCUAUGGUAUUCCGUAGGGCAUGCCUGUCUGAGCGUCAACUCCCACCCACUCAAGUCUUCUUUUGUUAGGAGAUUUGGAUUGCUUUGAGGAAGUAUCAAAAAAAUUUUUUUUUGCUGCUCCUCAGAAAUUUAUAGGCAGUAUGGUCAAACCUGAACCAGGCGUAAUAAUUUUAUAAAAUCGUCUAAUGAAAGGAAAGUCUGUAUUAGUCUUCAACCCCAAAUUUAUCUUUUUUUUUUUGGGUGACCUCAGAUCAGGUAGGGAUACCCGCUGAACUUAAGCAUAUCAAUAAGCGGAGGAAAAGAAACCAACAGGGAUUGCCCUAGUAACGGCGAGUGAAGCGGCAAAAGCUCAGAUUUGAAAUCUGGUGUCAUUCUGGCAUCCGAGUUGUAAUCUGUAGAGGAGUAUUCGAGUUUGGCAUUGGCUAAAGUUCCUUGGAAGAGGGCGUCAGAGAGGGUGAGAACCCCGUGUUAAGCCUUUGCUUUUUCUCAUGUGAAUCUCCUUCAACGAGUCGAGUUGUUUGGGAAUGCAGCUCUAAAUGGGUGGUAAAUUCCAUCUAAAGCUAAAUACUGGCAAGAGACCGAUAGCGCACAAGUAGAGUGAUCGAAAGAUGAAAAGAACUCUGAACAGAGAGUUAAAUAGUACGUGAAAUUGUUGAAAGGGAAGCACUUGCUACCAGACGCACUUGCAGUCAAUCAGCCUUCAUUCUUGGAGGUGCACUUGGUUGUAUGUGGGUCAGCAUCAGUUACGGCGGAGGGAUAAAGACCUAAGGAAUGUGGCUCCUCUCGGGGAGUGUUAUAGCCUUGGGUGUAAUACCUUCAGUUGUGACUGAGGAUCGCGCCUUUUGGUGAGGAUGCUGGCAUAAUGGUCGUAAGUGACCCGUCUUGAAACACGGACCAAGGAGUCUAACAUCUAUGCGAGUGUUUGGGUGUCAAAACCCUUACGCGAAAUGAAAGUGAAUGAAGGUGGGAACCGCAAGGUGCACCAUCGACCGAUCCUGAUGUUCUCGGAUGGAUUUGAGUAGGAGCAUAGCUGUUGGGACCCGAAAGAUGGUGAACUAUGCCUGAAUAGGGUGAAGUCAGAGGAAACUCUGAUGGAGGCUCGCAGCGGUUCUGACGUGCAAAUCGAUCGUCAAAUUUGGGUAUAGGGGCGAAAGACUAAUCGAACCAUCUAGUAGCUGGUUCCGGC
rnacentral:misc_RNA from 1 species